AAUGGGAUAGCUGGGUCAAAUGGUGAUUCCAUUCCAAGUUUUCUAAGAAAUCUCCAUAAUUCUUUCCAGAUUAGUUGCACCAAUUUGCAUUCCCACCAGCAAU
rnacentral:pre_miRNA from 1 species